CCAUGUCCUCGCUGCUGUCCCUCCAGGAGGAGAAUCGCAUCCUGCAGCAGGAGCUGUCGCGCGUGGAGGACUUGCUGGCGCAGAGCCGCGCCGAGCGCGAUGAGUUGGCCAUCAAGUACAAUGCCAUCAGUGAGAGGCUGGAGCAGACCCUGCGGCUGGAGACAGGGGAGCGGGAGGCAGCGGAGAGCCGGAGCCUGGCCCAGCACAACAUCGAGCUGCGGCGGCUGCUGGAGGAGGAACAAGCCGCCUACAAGCGCAAGCUCCAGGCGUACCAGGAGGGCCAGCAGCGACAAGCUCAGCUGGUGCAGAAGCUCCAAGCCAAGGUGCUGCAGUAUAAGAAGAAAUGCGGCGAAGUGGAGCAGCAGCUGCU